CCUACGGGGGGCAGCAGUGAGGAAUAGUGGUCAAUGGACGAGAGUCUGAACCAGCCAAGUAGCGUGAAGGAUGACUGCCCUAUGGGUUGUAAACUUCUUUUAUAGGGGAAUAAAAUGUUCCACGUGUGGGAUUUUGUAUGUACCAUAUGAAUAAGGAUCGGCUAACUCCGUGCCAGCAGCCGCGGUAAUACGGAGGAUCCGAGCGUUAUCCGGAUUUAGUGGGGUUAAAGGGAGCGUAGGGGGAUUGUUAAGUCAGUUGUGAAAGUUUGCGGCUCCACCGUAAAAUUGCAGUUGAAACUGGCAGUCUUGCGUACAGUAGCGGUGUGCGGAAUUCGUGGUGUAGCGGU
rnacentral:rRNA from 1 species